UGGGGAAUAUUGCGCAAUGAGGGGAACCCUAACGCAGCCAUGCCGCGUGAAUGAAGAAGGCCUUCGGGUUGUAAAGUUCUUUCGGUAUUGAGGAAGGUUGAUGUGUUAAUAGCACAUCAAAUUGACGUUAAAUACAGAAGAAGCACCGGCUAACUCCGUGCCAGCAGCCGCGGUAAUACGGAGGGUGCGAGCGUUAAUCGGAAUAACUGGGCGUAAAGGGCACGCAGGCGGUUAUUUAAGUGAGGUGUGAAAGCCCCGGGCUUAACCUGGGAAUUGCAUUUCAGACUGGGUAACUAGAGUACUUUAGGGAGGGGUAGAAUUCCACGUGUAGCGGUGAAAUGCGUAGAGAUGUGGAGGAAUACCGAAGGCGAAGGCAGCCCCUUGGGAAUGUACUGACGCUCAUGUGCGAAAGCGUGGGGAGCAAACAGGAUUAGAUACCCUGGUAGUCCACGCUGUAAACGCUGUCGAUUUGGGGGUUGGGGUUUAACUCUGGCGCCCGUAGCUAACGUGAUAAAUCGACCGCCUGGGGAGUACGGCCGCAAGGUUA
rnacentral:rRNA from 1 species